rnacentral:lncRNA from 1 species
GCCUAGUAUCCAAAGAGAAAUUUAAUAUGUAGUUUUUAAUUAUUUGAAAAAACCAAAUCCAGAAUAUCAAUAUGUUAUUCUUGGAUCUAGAGCACCAUUAGAAAAGGCUUGGUAGUCGUCAUCUUCCUCAUUUGUUAGUUUUUUUUCUUUUUUAUCAUAUAACAAACAAAAUAAUGCAUGUUCAGAUUUUUAUUAUUUUCCUUUUAUAAUUGCUAAUACAUAUACGAGGCUAGACUUAAAGCUUAUAUAGUACUAUGUAGCUAACCGUGCGUUGCUACGAAGAGAAUAAGUAAAAUUAAAUAGUAAAAUUAAAGUGAUAUUUUAGACCCCGUUACAGAUCUAAAAAGCAAAGUUUGUGAAAUUAACACAAUC